CUGCUUCUCCAUUUUUUUCUGUUCUGCUUUUAUUUUAUGCAUAUUGAGUGCUCUUCUUUAUAUAUGAAUGUGUGCUUAUUAUUUCAAUACUUUUAUUUACAAAUGAAAUUGAAUUGCUUUGAGGAAACCUAGUUCUAAAAACAGAGUUCAUAAACAUGUGGACCAUUUAGGAGCAUUGUCUUGCUUCUCUUCUUGUUUUCUCUGUUGAUCUUGUUGUUUUGUGUCUCCAAUUCCUCUGAUUUUCUUGGCCUGUUCAAAGUCAACCAUGAGUUCUUGAGUUCCCAGGCUAUCAGAUCGCACACCUACCGGCAAUUACUGCAUGACUUACACAAGUGUCCUAGCAGGUUGUCCAUUUUUCGUUUUCCUUCUCUAUCUUUGAUUUGUUAAAGUGAUUUAUGUUGAUGCUAGUUUAGUGCUUAUUUUGAUCAUGUAUGCCCCUAGAGUCCUGCUCCUAAGUGUGGUUAGUAUCUGCUUCUCAAAUAUCCUCUAUUAGCUGCAAGUUUUUAUUAUGUGUUUCCCUUAUUUAGAACAAUCAUAGUAAUGGAAACAAAUCGAACUCUAUUACUGUCAUGCACACUAUAUAUGGGUAUAAAUUUUGACCUAGUAUGAGUGUGGGGGACCAUGAUGGAUUCCAUACCUGAGAAGCCCCCAUAUAUGUGGAGAGAUGUCGGGCAGCCAUUAAAGGACUACAAUGGAAGAAUCUCUUAGAACCACCCCCCUCCCCCGCAUGUAAUUGUGCAGAUCUUCCCAAGAGGAAUUUGGUGUGGAUUGAGUUUGAGAAGGACAAUAGGCUUUUGCCUAAGGUAUUCGUAGAAGAUGGUCUUUUCAAUGAUCCGUGCCUUUCAUGGCAAGAUUCACUUGUCAUCAAGCUUUUUAACAAAGAGAUUGGUUUUUAUCGGUUGAACACGAGAUUAAAAAAUUUAUGGAAGUACACGGGUGAUUUUGAACUGGUGGACAUUGUCAAUGGCUUCUUUAUGGUAAAGUUUGAUCUUGAAGAGGAUAAAGAGAAAGUUAUCAAUGAAGGACCUUGGAUGGUGUUUGAUUAUUACUUCGUUGUUAGUUAUUGGUCGGCGGAUUUUGUAUCAUCAUCUGCAAAAUUAAAUCGUACUGUGGUUUGGAUUCGUAUCCUUAGUCUAAACCUAGUAUUUUAUGAUAAGAAUCUGUUGAUGACUAUGGCGUCAGCCAUUGGUAAGCCCAUUAAGGUAGAUAUGCAUACCCGCAAUGUAGAGAGAGGCAGAUUUGCAAGAGUUUGUGUUGAGAUUGAGCUUGAUAAACCAGUGAUGGGUAGAAUUUGGAUUAAAGAUCACUGGUAUAAUGUUAAGUACGAAGGACUUCACAUAAUUUGUGGGAAGUGUGGAUGUUAUGGCCACCAUGGCCUGGAUUGCAAGCUAGUCAAGGAGAUCAGAGAUACCAUGUUUGAGUCGAAUGCUACUGCUCGGGUGUAGGUGGUGGCGGAGGAAUUGCGCAAGGUAACAGAAGCCAUGGCAGAAUCUAAUCCCAUGAAAGACGUAAUUGUUCCUGUAACACAUGGUGACUGGUUGAUAGUUAGAAGGAAAAAGAAAUCGCAAAUUGAUCACAGAGCUAAGAAUAAGGGGACUGGUUAUAGAAACAUACAUAACAGAUUUACUGCUCUUAAUCGAGCAGCUGACGUUUAUCCUAAAAGCUUGGAAGUAGAUGGACUGAAGUUUCAUGCUGGGGAGGGUAAGGGCUCAAAUCCUACUAGACAUGUAUGGACCCAGCAGAAAAGGAGAAUUAGGCGAGAUGAACCCACUUUAAUCCACCCCAAGCCUGUUAAUGAUAUUUCUACAAGAAGAAUUAAUAAGGGAGUGCUUUUGGGAGCCCGGAACCAUGUUUCCAAGGAGGGGUCACGACGAGACAUAAGUAAACCGAUUGUUUUUUCUGCUGGAGGGUUUGAUGAGGGUAUGACGGGGAGCAUCAAAGGCAAGUAAAUAAUGCAGCACGCCAAAGGGAAUUUUGAAUCCAGGUUUUAUUUCAACUUCCACAGUUGUCAAUGCUCAUACUUCAGCCUUUGUUUUGAAUGAUACUCCUCUUGUUCCUAGUAUUGAGCUUUCUCCUGUUACCCAAACUUCAGAAGGAAAUGUGCCGAGGGUUGAGGGCAUGACUAUGUCCAUUAAUUGUUAAAGUGAACAGGGGUUUAAUGAGGGGAUGGCCAUUCAGAUGGAUGGUGGGCAGUAACUGUUCUGCUAUACUUUCGCUAUUUAUUAUCUAUCUUUUUUAUUAUGAAUAUGUUUACAGAUUUUUCUAUAAUCUCAUAGGAUGUUCGUGGUGACACUAAUAAGAUAAGCAAACGCCACUGGAAAGAAUUGGUAAGGUGGUAUCAUCAUUCUUUGUUUGUCUUGUUGGAAAUGCAUGUCAAUUUUUUUAAGAUUAAAAUUUUUUGGUAUAGUAUAGUAUUGCUUAUACUCUAGUGGCUGUUCCUGAAGCCCAAGGCCAUGCCGGUGGCAUAUGGAUUCUAUCUUCUAUUAGCUUUGUCUCCCUUUCAACCUUGGAUAUCAUUGGGCAAUGUGUUAGAAUUCAGAUUUCUGUGGGAAGCAGCUCAUGGUUCUUAUCGGCAGUCUAUGCCUCGCCCAUUCCUGGAGUUCAACUUUAGCUUUGGGAUUAUGUGAAUACAAUAAAGUUGAUAGUGCAAGGCCGUUGGGCCCUCAUUGGUGACUUCAAUAAAAUAUCUUCUCCUUCUGAAACUCAAGGAGGUCUCUUCUCAUGGGCUAGGGCUUCAUGUUUCUUGCAGAUGAUGUCAGAUUGUGAGGUUUUAGAUUUGGGCCACGAGGGCCCUAAUUUUACUUGGCACAAACAUGUUCAUGGGGUUCAUUACUUAGCCGAACAGCUCGGCAGAGCGCUGGCUUCUUCGGAUUUGUAAACUAGUUUUCCCGAAGCUUAUGUUGAAACUCUUUGAAGAAUUCACUCUGAUCACAACCCGAUUACUCUUCAUUGUGGGAAACCACCUGGGCUGGCUUGUGAAAGACCUUUUAGAUUUAAGGCAGCCUGGGCUUCCCAUUCAAAAUUAUCAGGAUAUUGUUUGUAGUGCUUGGGAUAGAGGCUGCUACAAUGUCCUGCAGGGGCUUCAGGAGGUUCAGCGAGAUUCUAUUUCUUUCAAUCAACACACUUUUGGGAAUAUUUUCCACAGGAAAAGAUGGUUUGAAGCUCGGAUUAAUGGUGUCCAUAGGUGUCUUAAGCACUAUACUGAUGAUUCACUUCUUUCUCUAGAAAAAUCUUUACGUCAUGAUUAUAAUGUUGUUCUUCAGUAGGAGGAAAUUCUUUGGUUCCAAAAAUCUAGAGAACAGUGGGUUACUCAUGGUGACAAGAAUAUAAAGUUCUUUCAAGCUUAGACAACUAUGCGGAGAAGACAGAACAGGAUUAAUAGGCCUUUUCUCUCUGAUGGGACUUGGUGCACUGAUGAUUCUAAACUGCAGGACCAGUUUUAUAAGAAUCUAUUCUGCACAGAGGCAUUGUUGGAUGAAAGAUACAAAAAAGAGUAAAUUAGAGGUAAUUGGUAGAUUUGACCUUCAGUCGAUGUUUUGUGCAGAGCACGAGCUUUAGAGGUCGAAAUGAGAUGCAAUCACGAGGUGGAAGAUGGAAGAUGCCCUUCAUUGUUUGAGUGUUUGAGAGAUUGCAAUGUCUAUU